rnacentral:lncRNA from 1 species
UAAAGAAGAAAAUAAUCUUUUGAUAUAUUUUUGUCAUUUUUAAGAGUAUUUUUAUGGUCGCUUCCGUGUUAUCGAGUCGUUUUCGAUGAUGGGACUUUCGAAUCGGCGAUCAGCUCCGUUAUGUUUGAUUCAGAAUAUUUGAAGUAUCUAGUAAAUAAAUUUCGUAAUUAUUCUAUAUUAUUUACCUAGUGAUCGAAGUAGCCCAAAAUUAAUAAUUUUAAUAAUCGUUGUGAGCUAUUUACAAAUUUACCAAUGUAAAAAUAUUUAAAUCACGGAAAAUUUUGAUAGAAAAUUAUUUUUUACUAUAUAAAGCAAGAUCGGUGUCUUUUAUCUAAAAUUUUAAUACCACAUCAUCAUUUUUUAUGAGAUUUUUAUUUUUAAUCUCUAGAUAAAUAAUAUUGAAAAAUUAUAAAAUUUAUUUUCUAAAUAGUUUCAAUAUUUUAGAUCAAGACUAAUAGAGCAGAUAGUCGAUUUAGAAUUCUUAGUAUCGAAAACGACUUGAUAACACGAAUGUUACUGCGCUUUUAAAAGCACAAAAGCUGGACUCUGUUUCACGUUAGUAAGGUGAUUGGUAAAUAAUAUCGAAAAAUUAUAAAAUUUAUUUUCUAAAUACUUUCAAUACUUUAUAUCAAGACUAAUAGAACAGAUCGUGGAUUCAUAAUUCUUAGUAUCGAAAAUGACUUGAUAACACGGAUGUUGCUGCGCUUGUAAAAGCACAAAAGCCAGACUUUGUUCUACGAUAACAAGAUGAUUGGUAAAUAAUACCGAAAAAUUAUAAAAUUUAUUUUUAAAUACUUCAAUAUUUUAUAUCAAGUAUAACGGAGUAGAUCGUCGAUUUAGAAGUUUCAGUAUCGAAAACGAUUUGACAGCACAGAUGCCACCGCGCUUUUAAAAACACGCAAGCCGAACUCUAUGCUACAGUAGUAAGAUGAUUGGGUAGUUGUUGGGGUAGUUUUUUUGCGUACGUGUAAUUGUCCGCGUGGGACCCAAUCGUCUGUUUUGUCGUUUUCCGGUCUUGUCUAGUAGUAAAUGGUGGACCCACCACAGCACCACUUCAAUCAAGGAGAGGUAGGGACAAAAAUAGCUAUUUUUAUUAUCUUUAACUAUAGUAAAAUUUUAUCUCCGAUUUAAUUUGAGAUGACUUAACGGCAAUAAUAUUUUUAAAUAAUAGAAAAAUAUAUGCAGAAUAUAUUUGAAAUAAAAAUUAGACUAAAAUACUAUUAAUAGCACUAAGCUAUUGGUACUAUUAGUUUUUUAAUCCUUUGAUUGAGAAAUGUGCGGUUAAGAUGAUAUGGGCUUCCUAGGGUUGAGUGGGUGGUUGAUUGAAUAGUAUAAUCUAACGGAUAAAAAUAAUCAAAGGGUUAAAUUUAACAGUGGAAAACUCGAUAACACAAGUUUUUGGUGCUAUCGAUAGUAUCCCAGCCGGACUCCUUAAAACAAAAAAAGUAUAGAGAUAAAUAAGAUACUUCAGAAGUUUUGAGGGGUAUCCCUUUAUUACAAAU